rnacentral:rRNA from 1 species
GAAAUUCGCCUUCAUGAAGCUGGAAUUGCUAGUAAUGGCAGGUCAGCAUACUGCCGUGAAUACGUUCCCGGGCCUUGUACACACCGCCCGUCACACCAUGAGAGUUGGAAAUACCCGAAGCCUGUGAGCUAACAGUAAUGAGGCAGCAGUCGAAGGUAGAGCCAAUGAUUGGGGUGAAGUCGUAACAAGGUAUC